rnacentral:lncRNA from 1 species
UAUGUCUAUCAAUUCAUUUCCUCAUCUAAAAUAACUUUUGAAUAAGUUUUAUAAUUUGAUAGAACUUUACUUAAAUCAUACUCCCUCCGUUCACGAAAGAACUUCCUAUUUUUCUAUUUCGGGACGUCCACGAAAGAACUUCCUACUUUUUCCUAUUUUGGGACAAUACCCCACCAAAGACAAUUCCCAUCACUCAAAUAACAUUAAUUAAAACAACACAAUAAAUUAUUAAUACUUUUUCACAAUUCUCAAUACACUUUACAACAUUUUCUCCACUCUCAAUACACUAUACAACAUUUUAUUAAAACCCGUGCCACUCCCUCCUAGGAAGUUCUUUCAUGGACGGAGGGAGUAUUCCACUAAAAUAGUAGGAUUGAAAAACUUAAAUAUUGAGAUAAAAAUAUUUAAUUAUAUAUAUUAUUCCCUUUAUCCCAUUUAAUAUGACCCUUUUAGUAUGAUUAAAGGGGUCAUGUUAAAUGGGACGAAGAGUGUAUUAAUCAUGAAAAAUAAACGUCAUUGAACGUGUCCCCCGAAUGAAUGAGCAUAAUUCUCAUUUCCACUUUUGUAGGACUAUUCCACGUGUGCCCCGAAUGAAUGAGCAUGAUAGUCCUUACAUGUUUUCCAUAGGGACAUCAAUACUUGCUUUUGUCAAGGGCAUUUACUUUGCAUGAUUUAUAAGAUGUACGAUUGAGUAUUUUUAUGCUUAAGAGUAGAAUUUCUCCAAUCUCACCCUUUUUUCAUAUGACUAGCAGUAAGAACGUGCGAUGCACGUUUAACACAUGAUUUUCUAUUAUGAAAAUAAAAGGGUAAUUGCCUGUAAAUCUAUAACGUUUGCACGGAAUUGGUUUUUGCUCCUAAUUUCAAAAGUCUACUUUCAAAUACAUAACCUUUCGUUUCUGUCUCAAAUUUAGCCGGUGACCGGUUUUUGCUUACGUCGGCGCCGGAAAUGACACGGUGGCAGCCGAAAUUGACAUGUGCAAAGAAAUUUUUUAAAAAAAGAAAAAAAACCACCUCAUCAUCUUCCCCAACCUCCUCCACUCCAAAACCUAAUUUCCCCAUCUUCCCCAACCCGCCGCCACCAUCGCCGUCGGUCGCCCCCUUCCCCUUCCCAAACCCAUCGGCCCUCCCCCCUCCCUUCCGCCGGUUGCCCCCUCCCCCUCCCCAGAUCUGUCAUUCUCUCUCUAUCUCCCAAAAUCUCAAUUACACCUCUCCGACAACCUCUCGAAAGUCCGACGUUUUCCUCCAUCUUCGACCUAUUGUAGAUAUACAGAACCACCCGCNN